rnacentral:lncRNA from 1 species
AUGAUCACAGAUAAUAGUUUUGAUGUACUCUACUUGACUGAAACCUGGCUAAAACCAAAUGAUUAUUUAGGUCUAAAUGAGUCUACUCCACCAAACUACUGUUAUAAGCCCCGUCAGACUGGUCGUGGCGGAGGUGUUGCAACAAUAUAUAGUGAUUUUCUCAAUGUUACCCAGAAAACAGGAUAUAGGUUUAACUCUUUUAAAAUACUUCUGCUAAAUGUUACACUGUCAGACAUGCAAAAGAAAUCUAAUGUAUAUCUUGCUCUGGCUACUGUGUAUAGACCACCAGGGCCGUAUACAGAAUUCCUAAAAGAAUUUGCAGAUUUCCUCUCAGACCUUUUAGUUACAGUUGAUAAGGCGCUAAUCAUGGGAGAUUUUAAUAUUCACGUUGAUAAUACAAAUGAUACAUUAGGACUUGCGUUUACUGACCUAAUAAACUCUUUUGGAGUCAAGCAAAAUGUCACCGGGCCCACUCAUCGUUUUAAUCAUACACUAGAUUUAAUUAUAUCUCAUGGAAUCGAUCUUACUGCUAUAGGUAUUGUAUCUCAAAGUGAUGAUAUUACAGACCAUUUCCUUGUAUCGUGCAUGCUGCGUAUAACUGAUAUUAACAAUAUGUCUCAGCGUUACCGUCUGGGCAGAACUAUUGUUCCAGCCGCCAAAGAAAGAUUCGCAAAUAACCUGCCUGAUCUAUCUCAACUGCUAUUUGUACCCAAAAAUACACAUGAAUUAGAUGAAAUGACUGACAACAUGGGCACCAUUUUCUCUUAUACAUUAGAAGCUGUUGCCCUCAUCAAAUUGAAAAAGGUUAGAGAAAAACGUACUGUGCCAUGGUAUAACAGUAAUACUCACUCUCUCAAGAAAGAAACUCGUAGUCUUGAACGCAAAUGGAGAAAAACUAACUUGGACGUUUUUAGAAUUGCAUGGAUAAACAGUAUGUCCAGCUAUAGACAGGCACUAAAAACUGCUAGGGCAGAGCAUAUACACAAACUAAUAGAAAAUAACCAAAACAAUCCAAGGUUUUUAUUUAGCACAGUGGCUAAAUUAACAAAUUACCAGACGCCACCUGAUUCAAAUAUUCCACCAACGUUAAAGCUGCGGUAG